rnacentral:rRNA from 1 species
UGGGGAAUUUUUCGCAAUGGGGGAAACCCUGACGAAGCAACGCCGCGUGGAGGAUGAAGGCCUUCGGGUCGUAAACUCCUGUCAACCGGGACGAAAGCAGUCGGUCUAAUACACCGUUCUGUUGACUGUACCGGUGGAGGAAGCUCCGGCUAACUCUGUGCCAGCAGCCGCGGCAAUACAGAGGGAGCAAGCGUUGUUCGGAAUUACUGGGCGUAAAGGGCGCGUAGGCGGUCUGACAAGUCCCGUGUGAAAUCCCUCGGCUCAACUGAGGAAUGGCACGGGAAACUGUCAGUCUUGAGUUCGGGAGAGGAAAGCGGAAUUCCGGGUGUAGCGGUGAAAUGCGCAGAUAUCCGGAGGAACAUCGGUGGCGAAGGCGGCUUUCUGGACCGACACUGACGCUGAGGCGCGAAAGCUAGGGGAGCAA